CCUACGGGAGGCUGCAGUGGGGAAUAUUGGGCAAUGGAGGAAACUCUGACCCAGCAACGCCGCGUGAAUGAUGAAGGUCUUCGGAUUGUAAAGUUCUUUUCUAAGGGAAGAAGAAAGUGACGGUACCUUAGGAAUAAGCCUCGGCUAACUACGUGCCAGCAGCCGCUGUAAUACGUCGGAGGCGAGCGUUAUCCGGAAUGACUGGGCGUAAAGGGUGCGUAGGUGGGUUGGCAAGUUAGUAGCGUAACUCCAAGGCUCAACCUUGGAACUACUACUAAAACUGUUGGACUUGAGUGCAGGAGGGGCAACCGGAAUGCGUGGUGUAGCGGUGGAAUGCGUAGAUAUUAGGAGGAACACCAGUGGCGAAGGCGGGUUGCUGGACUGUAACUGACACUGAGGCACGAAAGCGUGGGGGGCAAACAGGAUUAGAUACCCUUGUAGUC
rnacentral:rRNA from 1 species